GUGAUUUGCCCCCGAGCACCCCUGGGUAAAUUACCGUACAGCCAAUCACAAUGCGUACAAUGCGUGACGUCACUGGUAAGAGACGGACCCCGAACACAUCGUCUACACCGACACCGCCACUGCCUUCAUGGGAUUAAUGAAAAAAAGGCCCCGACCUAAGAAGGUCCGAGAGCCACAGCUUGGAACCAACCGGAAAUGCAUGCAGCGUGAUAAAGCGACGAGCGUUGUAAACAAACGUGAAGGGUUUUGAUAGCUGUAACAGGAAUGCCGUUUCAAGAGUCCUUUACUUGAAACUCCAGGAUGUUGUGUGAAGUCCUGUUGUCAUCGUUAUGGUUCCUGUUUGUUAUCUUCUGGGUCGAGACAAUAGGUGUUUGGCUGUUUCUGUCUAUGUUCUACCAAGACCGGGCUUUUUACUACUGGGGAGAUGGGGUAUUUGCAGAUGAUCCUGGACAGAUGAUAAACAUGUUUAGCAGAGCUGAUAACGACAUGCAGACAGAGAUGCAGACCUCAGACCGGCAAAGAUGAAGACGUCCUUCUAAUGGACUUUCAAUAGAAUGCAUGGAUACAACGAAGAACACAUACAGAACUGUAGCUAUUUCUCCUUUGCACUGACUAACUGCUGUGCACAGCGCUUGUUAACAUAAAUAUAUGUAGGCCCCCUCUAAGUAACUGUUGGGGAAGAGUUACCACUAAGACUUAUAGGGAAUGAUUAAUACAACUUGUAUGUUCCCUUUCAGAACUUUAAUAGGCAAGCAAAAUCAAUGUAGCAGAAAAAUAAACCUCAUAUUGUGUGUCUUUGUUUUAAUUUUGUCUUGAGACUUGGGCAGAGAUUCUGUUUUAUUCAUAUGUUGUUUCAUGCAACUCGAGUUAUUGCUAUCUGCAGUGAAAUAUGUUUUGAAUAUCAAAUUGCAGUAAAUCUGUGCUGAGUUGUUUAUAUCAAUGUUAUAGUCAGGUGUGUGGGUGUAUGUUUUAUGUCACAACCUUCAACAAAUAAGUAAUCUAGCUUUGAAUAUCAGAGGUGAUGGAACCAUGAACUGAACACGAAAUAACUAUAACAAAGAUGUCAUUAUUUGAUCAAGGAAUUUAUAUUUUGCUCUCUCUUACAGUAAUAAUCUGGUAAUAAAAAACUACACUAUUUAUGGUUUAAGCAUUUCAAAUAUGGGAAAUACAACAUCAUGUUAUCUGUUGAUUUUGAUCAGUUGUGUAUCUCUAUUCCAAUAUAAGACUUGUCAAUACUGAGGACACAUAAUAACCGAGCUAUAUUUAUAGCAACUGCAAAAGCUCAAAAUGCUGUUG